rnacentral:lncRNA from 13 species
CACCAUUGUUAGAUUCAUGACAGGGAGUGUGCAAGCACACACUUUACGAGAAGGGUGGAGAAUUGGGACUCAGCCCAUAUUAGUUUUUUUUCUCAGUGUGUCCCAGGAGUCGUCUGGCGUCCCCCGUUCUCCUGUCCUCUUGAGGAGGUGACAUCAUUCUUGGAGGGGGACCUGUGCCAGAAUCAUGCAGCUAUCACCUCUGUCACAGUACUGAGCCUGUUCAGCUCCACAGCAGACGCAGGUGUGUCAGUGUUUAAGGAUGCAGCGAAAGCACUCGGAGGAGAGACAAUGUUCUGACUGUUUGCUGACAGACAGGCUGAAAGAAGGUACAGAUGGAUACCCUUCCUCCACCAGUGGUGUUGGAAGAGGAUGCAUUGGGAGGAGGAUCCAUCAACACCCUGGAAAUAUUUGUGUGAUGCACUUACACAUAACACUCUUUUUGACUGAUGAAUGAUUGUAUCGUCUUCAAUUUAUACGUUAAGGUAAGUAACUGCAUGUAAGCAAAUUAUUUUUCAAUCUUCAACAUAGAAAUGCUACCAAAAUUGUUUUACUGAAAUUUGUUACAAAUGAUGGAGUUACUCGUGAUUUACUGAACAAUAUUUUGAAAGAGGAAGUAAAGUACUUAAAACAUAUGUUUUUGUUUCAGUCUCAUCCAUCUCCACUAACUGAAGCUGUAUGGAUUUUUUUCCUAUUAAUAAUGUAAAAUUAACAUGUGUACAGAACGACUCAUGUGAAGGCCAAAUUACAGAGGAGGAACAUCUUGAUGCAAUUAAAGCCUAUAAGUCUGGGAAAACUCCAGGGCUUGAUGACAUACCAAUGGAGGUAUACCGAACUUGUUUUGAGAUA